rnacentral:rRNA from 1 species
GACAGAGGAGGCAAGCGUUGUCCGGACUGACUGGGCGUAAAGCGUCCGCAGGUGGUCGCGCAAGUGCGCUGUGAAAGCGGCCCGCUCAACGGGCCGAGGCCAGCGCAGACUGCGCGACUGGAGGUCGGGAGAGGUCGGUGGAAUUGCCGGUGUAGUGGUGAAAUGCGUAGAGAUCGGCAGGAACACCCAAGGGGAAGCAGCCGACUGGCCCGCAC